rnacentral:rRNA from 1 species
UACGUAGGGUCCGAGCGUUGUCCGGAAUUAUUGGGCAUAAAGGGCUCGUAGGCGGUCCAUCGCGUCGGGAGUGAAAAGCUGGGGCUUAACCCCAGUCCUGCUUCCGAUACGGGUGGACUAGAGGUAGGUAGGGGAGAUCGGAAUUCCUAGUGUAGCGGUGAAAUGCGCAGAUAUUAGGAGGAACACCGGUGGCGAAGGCGGAUCUCUGGGCCUUACCUGACGCUGAGGAGCGAAAGCAUGGGGAGCAAACAGG